UGACAGAGAAAAUGAUUGAGAGGAUCAUGAAGGCUUGCGCUGCUUUGAGGGAAGGCUCAUUGUCGCCACUGAGUGUCAGCGGCUCACAGGUGUUGUUGCAAUACAUCCAGAGUCCCCAUGAGACAUUUCCAAGGGAACUCCUACCCACCAUCCAAACGUUGGCAAUGGUGGAGACGAAGAGCAUGAUGACGGUGGCAAUGUGAACCACAAAGAUACCAGCCAGUAGUACCAACAUCUUGGAUCCUUCCUAGGUGGUGUCACAGGCGCAGAGAGAUCGUGCGGUGCUGGCACCUGUGGAAGCAGGAGCGUGCGGGGCUGCGGUGCUGCUGUGCCGGAGCGCGGAGCUGUAGUGAAGGGGAGCGACCUGGUGGUGGUUUAAGUUUCCUCCAGCGGUGUGGGAGGGUGGUGUCUCUUAGCUCCGUUUUAAAGAAGUUACUAUGAAUCAG
rnacentral:lncRNA from 1 species